rnacentral:rRNA from 1 species
UAGGGAAUCUUCGGCAAUGGGGGCAACCCUGACCGAGCAACGCCGCGUGAGUGAAGAAGGUUUUCGGAUCGUAAAGCUCUGUUGUAAGAGAAGAACGAGUGUGAGAGUGGAAAGUUCACACUGUGACGGUAUCUUACCAGAAAGGGACGGCUAACUACGUGCCAGCAGCCGCGGUAAUACGUAGGUCCCGAGCGUUAUCCGGAUUUAUUGGGCGUAAAGCGAGCGCAGGCGGUUAGAUAAGUCUGAAGUUAAAGGCUGUGGCUUAACCAUAGUAGGCUUUGGAAACUGUUUAACUUGAGUGCAAGAGGGGAGAGUGGAAUUCCAUGUGUAGCGGUGAAAUGCGUAGAUAUAUGGAGGAACACCGGUGGCGAAAGCGGCUCUCUGGCUUGUAACUGACGCUGAGGCUCGAAAGCGUGGGGAGCAAACAGGAUUAGAUACCCUGGUAGUCCACGCUGUAAACGAUGAGUGCUAGGUGUUAGACCCUUUCCGGGGUUUAGUGCCGUAGCUAACGCAUUAAGCACUCCGCCUGGGGAGUACGACCGCAAGGUUG